CAACGAAAUUCGCCUGCGGCGAGUGAAAUAUGGCUUCGCCAUGUGAAAUACGCCUUCGGCGUGUGAAAUA
rnacentral:sRNA from 1 species